rnacentral:rRNA from 1 species
UGGGGAAUAUUGGACAAUGGGCGAAAGCCUGAUCCAGCCAUGCCGCGUGUGUGAAGAAGGUCUUCGGAUUGUAAAGCACUUUAAGUUGGGAGGAAGGGCAGUAAAUUAAUACUUUGCUGUUUUGGCGUUACCGACAGAAUAAGCACCGGCUAACUCUGUGCCAGCAGCCGCGGUAAUACAGAGGGUGCAAGCGUUAAUCGGAAUUACUGGGCGUAAAGCGCGCGUAGGUGGUUCGUUAAGUUGGAUGUGAAAUCCCCGGGCUCAACCUGGGAACUGCAUUCAAAACUGACGAGCUAGAGUAUGGUAGAGGGUGGUGGAAUUUCCUGUGUAGCGGUGAAAUGCGUAGAUAUAGGAAGGAACACCAGUGGCGAAGGCGACCACCUGGACUGAUACUGACACUGAGGUGCGAAAGCGUGGGGAGCAAAACAGGAUUAGAUACCCUGGUAGUCCACGCCGUAAACGAUGUCAACUAGCCGUUGGGAGCCUUGAGCUCUUAGUGGCGCAGCUAACGCAUUAAGUUGACCGCCUGGGGAGUACGGCCGCAAGGUU